GAUGAAGAACGCAGCGAAAUGCGAUACUUGGUGUGAAUUGCAGAAUCCCGUGAACCAUCGAGUCUUUGAACGCAAGUUGCGCCCGAAGCCAUUAGGCCGAGGGCACGCCUGCCUGGGCGUCACACGUCGUUGCCCCCCCAUCUACUCCUUCGGGAUUGCGGGGGGCGGAUGAUGGUCUCUCGUGCGCCUCGUCGCGCGGUUGGCCUAAAUGCCAAGUCCUCGGCGACGCACGCCACGACAAUCGGUGGUUGCGAAACCUCGGUUGCCUGUCGUGUGCGGUCGUCGCGCAUCGAGGGCUCGAAAAAAUUGCCGGGCUUCGGCUCGACUUUCAACGCGACCCCAGGUCAGGCGGGGUUACCCGCUGAAUUUAAGCAUAUCAAUAAGCGGAGGA
rnacentral:misc_RNA from 1 species